CGAAUAAGAGGUCCCGCCUGCCCUGUGACUAUAUGUUUAACGGCCGCGGUAUUUUGACCGUGCGAAGGUAGCGCAAUCACUUGUCUUUUAAAUGGAGACCUGUAUGAAAGGCAUCACGAGGGCUUAGCUGUCUCCCCUUUAAAGUCAAUGAAAUUGAUCUCCCCGUGCAGAAGCGGGGAUAUGCUCGUAAGACGAGAAGACCCUAUGGAGCUUAAGAUAAAAGGCGAGUCAUGUCAAACACCCCUUCAAAGGAAGUUGAACGAAAUGAUACCCGCUGGAAUGUCUUCGGUUGGGGCGACCGCGGGGAAAGACAAAACCCCCACAUGGACCAGGGCCACUAUAGCCCUAAAACCUAGACCCACAGGUCAAGUCAACAGUAAAUCUGACUACCAAAGAGCCGGCAAUGCCGAUCAACGGACCGAGUUACCCUAGGGAUAACAGCGCAAUCCCCUCCCAGAGCCCUUAUCGACGAGGGGGUUUACGACCUCGAUGUUGGAUCAGGACAUCCUAAUGGUGCAGCCGCUAUUAAGGGUUCGUUUGUUCAACGAUUAAAGUCCUACGC
rnacentral:rRNA from 1 species